CCCCCCCCCCCCCGGCAAAUUUGUUACCGAGCAAGCGUGAGCUUCUCCAUCAAUAAAGAGCUGGGAAAUUUUCACUUCACCGAGACCAGCAAGAACCAGUGGAAAGCUGCGAUCCUCGGCAGAGGAAGGGGGACAAGAAAUGCGCAAAGGCGGCGACGCCGCCGCGGAGCCAAGGAAAUGCUGCUCCCAGGGGGCGACGCGGCUUGAUCCAACAAGUUAUGGCGUCAGAUCUCGCGGGCGCGAGGCCCAGACGGUUAGCUCCGAGCUCUCCGCGCCCCGGCCGCCGCUCCCCGGCAGAUCCGACCGCCGCCGCCGCCGGAGAGGGAGGCUAGGAGCAUGCUCCUCCCUCUGCCUAGCUGGCUGGCUGGCUGAUGCUUCUUUCUUUCUUUCUUCUUCUGUUGCAACUUUUUCCCAGCUCAAGAGUUGCAGUGAGAUGUGCUAGCUUCUUCUUCUUGCUCUGGCUUGCUUGCUUCCUCCUCUUGCAGCUUCUUGCUACUUCCAAGUUGUUCUUGGGGUUUUAACCCCACGACUCCACGAGUGGUGACCUCUCUCUCUCUCUCUCAUCAGUUGCUCUCUCUCUCUCUCUCAGCCAGUAAGGUGUUUUGGGUAAAUUUUUUUAUGUAGCUACAGUUAAGUAUUGGAUGGAGUAUAAUUGUACACGGGUGAACAACAUCGUACGAUGUACCCUUUCUACAUGCUUCUUUUUUUGCACACGCUACGCUGAAGAAGAGGGGAAAACAACGUACUGUAGCAUUUUCUAUUUGUCACCGUGUUCACUGGAGCAUCUCCUAUCCUUGGAGCUUUUCUACUCCGUCCCUACAAA
rnacentral:lncRNA from 1 species